GGGGUGUAUAAAGAUACAGUGAAGAGAAUGAAGAAGGAGGGAAAAAAAAGAGAGAAUUGAUGGAUGGUCUCACCCAAAACAUAAAGAGGAGGCUAGGAUGGUCUCACCCAAAACAUAAAGAGGAGGCUAGGAUGGUCUCACCCAAAACAUAAAGAGGUGGCUAGGAUGGUCUCACCCAAAACAUAAAGAGGUGGCUAGGAUGGUCUCACCCAAAACAUAAAGAGGAGGCUAGGAUGGUCUCACCCAAAACAUAAAGAGGAGGCUAGGAUGGUCUCACCCAAAACUAUGUGAGGAGGCUAGGAUGGUCUCACCCAAAACUAUGUGAGGAGGCUAGGAUGGUCUCACCCAAAACUAUGUGAGGAGGCUAGGAUGGUCUCACCCAAAACUAUGUGAGGAGGCUAGGAUGGUCUCACCCAAAACUAUGUGAGGAGUGGGAAUCCUAUGUAUUUGCUAGGAUCAAGCAACGACAAAGAGACAAAACAAAUAGACAGACCCCCACCACCACCUC